CCUACGGGGGGCAGCAGUAGGGAAUAUUGCUCAAUGGGGGAAACCCUGAAGCAGCAACGCCGCGUGGAGGAUGAAGGUUCUCGGAUUGUAAACUCCUUUUGUUAGAGAAGAUAAUGACGGUAUCUAACGAAUAAGCACCGGCUAACUCCGUGCCAGCAGCCGCGGUAAUAAGGAGGGUGCAAGCGUUACUCGGAAUCACUGGGCGUAAAGAGCGCGUAGGCGGGAUAGCAAGUCAGAUGUGAAAUCCUAGGGCUUAACCAUAGAACUGCAUUUGAAACUGUUAUUCUAGAGUAUGGGAGAGGUAGGUGGAAUUCGUGGUGUAGGGGUGAAAUCCGUAGAGAUCACGAGGAAUACUCAUUGCGAAGGCGACCUGCUAGAACAUAACUGACGCUGAUGAGCGAAAGCGUGGGGAGCAAACAGGAUUAGAUACCCGUGUAGUC
rnacentral:rRNA from 1 species